CACACGGUGGUAGGAGAAGCCCCCGGCAGCGCUGCGGGCCCCUCUGUGCUCCAUUCCCUCCCCCCACCCACAGCCCCGGCCACAGCUGCGACGAAUGGAGAGCAAAAAGCUCUCCUCCGAAGGGCUGAGGGAUCGGCCAGCAGCAGUGCUGGGUGCCAAACUGCCGCAGCUCAGCUCGGGGGUUGCGUUCACUGAGCUCUGAAGGUUCUGGACUCCCCGUUCUGCAGUGCAGGAGCUGCACCUCUGAAGGCCAUCUGGUCCCACCCCCUGCGAUAAGCGGGGACACCCACAGCUCCAUCAGGUGCUCAGAGCCCACCCAGUCUGACCUUGGCUGUACCCAUGGAUGGGACGUCCACCACCACAGCACUCAGCUCUCCAGGAGCAGGCUGACACACGGACCUGGAGGAGAAGGGCAAGUUGUCGUGGCCGGCGCUGGCGCAGCAGUAGAAGCCCUGCAGGGUUUUCACCACCCGUCCUCUCGCUGGGCUGAUGUUUGAUUGCAUCCCACAGCAGCAGACUGGAGCUCCACAAACACAUGGGGAUUGGCUCAUGCCAAAGGCUGUUCCCAGCAGGAGAUGGGAGACUUGGAUUGGCACAUCUCUUGGCUUCACGGAGUGGCUCUGGGCACUGGUCCUUUGGGAUGGUGGUCUGCAGCACUGCUCCAUUGCCCAGUGCUGGACUUUGCUCCCCAACCUCCCUGCUGGGAUUUCCCAUGGCUCGGAGCUGCAGAGCUGGGUGCCGGCCUUGGCAAACAGCCAGAGAUGGGAGUGCAGCCGGCUCACCCUGCCUGCAGGGCAACUCACCGUGGCAAUGCCUGCAGGCCCGGCCUGCCUGCAAACAGCUGCAGAGCACUGUGGGGUCACCAGGGCUCGGUGUGACACGAGGACAGGGUGCUCAUUCCCAAUACAACAGCCAGCUGGGAAGUCCCUGUUCUUGUUUGGAGCUGCCCAUGCUCAGCCCUUGGUGCCAUUUGCUAAGGCAGCAGCCAGCGUGUGGCUGAGUCUGCAGGACUGGCCUUUCCACAGCAAGGUCACUGUUUUUCAUCCCCAGCAUCCCAUCUUCCAUCCUCAGAUC
rnacentral:lncRNA from 1 species